rnacentral:tRNA from 1 species
GCGCCCGUAGCUCAGCGGAUUAGAGUACCUGACUUCGGAUCAGGUGGUCGGGGGUUCGAAUCCCUCCGGGCGUA